AUGCAGCAAGGAAGGCCCCUUGCUUAUUACAGCUCUGCACUUUGUCCAAGAAAUGCUGCACUCUCCACCUAUGAGAAAGAAGCUCUUGCUAUUCUGGAAGCUUUAAAGAAAUGGAGACACUACCUGUUAGGGAACAGUGUCAUUAUCAAGAUUGACCAACAGUCUUUGAAAUUCAUUACUGAUCAAAGAAUUACAAAGGGAGUGCAACACAAAUUGAUGAUGAAACUGCUGGAAUUUAAUUUCACAAUCCAAUACAAGAAGGGGAGUACUGAGUGGCAGAUGCCCUGUCUAGAAUGUGGCCUAAAUGUAUGGCUAUCUCCUCUGUCACUCCAUUAUGGGUUGAAGAUCUGA
rnacentral:rRNA from 1 species